rnacentral:tRNA from 1 species
GGAAAUGUGGCUUAAUGGUAGAGUGCUUGCCUAGCAUGCAUAAAGUCCUAGGUUCGAUUCCUCAGUACCA